UGGGGGAUAACGUCCGGAAACGGGCGCUAAUACCGCAUACGUCCUACGGGAGAAAGCAGGGGACCUUCGGGCCUUGCGCUAUCAGAUGAGCCUAGGUCGGAUUAGCUUGUUGGUGAGGUAAUGGCUCACCAAGGCUGCGAUCCGUAACUGGUCUGAGAGGAUGAUCAGUCACACUGGAACUGAGACACGGUCCAGACUCCUACGGGAGGCAGCAGUGGGGAAUAUUGGACAAUGGGCGAAAGCCUGAUCCAGCCAUGCCGCGUGUGUGAAGAAGGUCUUCGGAUUGUAAAGCACUUUAAGUUGGGAGGAAGGGUUGUAGAUUAAUACUCUGCAAUUUUGACGUUACCAACAGAAUAAGCACCGGCUAACUUCGUGCCAGCAGCCGCGGUAAUACGAAGGGUGCAAGCGUUAAUCGGAAUUACUGGGCGUAAAGCGCGCGUAGGUGGUUUGUCAAGUUGGAAGUGAAAGCCCCGGGCUCAACCUGGGAACUGCUUUCAAAACUGGCAAGCUAGAGUAUGGCAGAGGGUGGUGGAAUUUCCUGUGUAGCGGUGAAAUGCGUAGAUAUAGGAAGGAACAUCAGUGGCGAAGGCGACCACC
rnacentral:rRNA from 2 species